UUUGGUAUUAAAUCGUAUUUUGAUCUUGUUUGCUUAUGAUUGAUAGUAUGGUGGAUGCAUAUAUGAGCAUAAUUUACACUUGCAUGAUUGAACUAAUGGACGUGGUGCUCUCGACUAAUCAUGUUAUUUUAAUUACCUCGUUAUGGGCGGAAAAACGUGACUGUGGUUAGUCUAAAGUUGGAAAAAAAAGAAUUGUUGUAUAGAUAUGAACUUAAGUGAAUGAAUAAGAACUUUGGGCUUAUCUCGUUAUCAUUGGUUGCCCCAUCACAAGUUGGAAAUGUGAUACUAUUGAUUGCCCCAUCACAUGCCAUAAAUGUGAAACUAUUGGUUGCCCCAUCAUAGGACGAAAAUGUGAUACUAUUGAUUGUCUCGUCGCAGGCUGAAAAUGUGAAACUACUGGUUGCCCCAUCACAGGCUGGAAAUGUGAUACUACCGAUUGCCCCAUCAUAAGCCGAAAAUAUGAAACUAUUGGUUGCUCCAUCACAGGCCGAAAAUAUGAUAUUAUUGGUUGCCCCGCCAUAUGNN
rnacentral:lncRNA from 1 species